rnacentral:rRNA from 1 species
CCUACGGGUGGCAGCAGUAGGGAAUAUUGCUCAAUGGGGGAAACCCUGAAGCAGCAACGCCGCGUGGAGGAUGAAGGUUUUCGGUUUGUAAACCUCUUUCGUCAGAGAAGAAAAUGACGGUACCUGACGAAUAAGCACCGGCUAACUCCGUGCCAGCAGCCGCGGUAAUACGGAGGGUGCAAGCGUUAUUCGGAUUCACUGGGUGUAAAGGGGGCGUAGGCGGGAUAGCCAGUCAGAUGUGAAAUGCUAUGGCUCAACCAUCGGACUGCAGUUGAAACUGUUAUUCUAGAGUGUGGGAGAGGUAGGUGGAAUUCUUGGUGUAGGGGUGAAAUCCGUAGAGAUCAGGAGGAAUACUCAUUGCGAAGGCGGCCUGCUAGAACAUAACUGACGCUGAUGCGCGAAAGCGUGGGGAGCAAACAGGAUUAGAUACCCUUGUAGUC